rnacentral:lncRNA from 1 species
UGACCAUCUAGCAAUGGUACCCGACGACCGGAUAGGUCGAAUGUGUAGAACAACAUCCUUAGAAUCCAUGCGGAUAUAGUUUUCAUAUAAUUCAUCCUCUUGACCAAAAUGAUCAUAGGACACCCUAGGGUUCAACUAUCAACUCUGAUCAGGUUGUCCACAUUGUAUUUCAAAAUAUCAAAUCCAUCUGAUGGAUUACCCUGGCCAAAGUUUUGCUAAAUUAAAAUACAACGACUCAUUCUUCUCCAACUC